AACGCGAAGAACCUUACCAAAUCUUGACAUCCUUCUGACCGACUCGUAAUGGAGUCUUUCCUACGGGACAGAAGAGACAGGUGGUGCAUGGUUGUCGCCAGCUCGUGUCGUGAGAUGUUGGGUUAGGUCCCGCAACGAGCGCAACCCUUAUCCUUAGUAGCCAGCAGUUCGGCUGGGCACUCUGGGGAGACUGCCAGGGAUAACCUGGAGGAAGGUGGGGAUGACGUCAAAUCAUCAUGCCCCUUAUGAUUUGGGCUACACACGUGCUACAAUGGCGUAAACAGAGGGAAGCGAAGCCGUGAGGUGGAGCAAAUCCCAAAAAUAACGUCUCAGUUCGGAUUGUAGUCUGCAACUCGACUACAUGAAGCUGGAAUCGCUAGUAAUCGCGAAUCAGAAUGUCGCGGUGAAUACGUUCCCGGGUCUUGUACACACCG
rnacentral:rRNA from 1 species